AGGUGUCUUCGUUCCCCCUCUUUUACGUCAAGCACUUCUCUGCGUGACGGCCUCUCGCUCGAGUUGCAUGGGGCACUGGGCCAAACUUGUAGCCCCCCCUCCCCUCCUCUCUGCGCGCCGUCUUCUCUGCACGCGUGCGCCUACGUGUCGGGCGGUCCUCCGAGACGACACCGCCCUUCCCUCUCCCUUGCGGGGCCGACUGAGCGAGAAUAGCAGAAAGGCACGGGAACCUUUAGGCGAUGCUGCAUCGCUCUUUCUGGCGAUUGACAGCAGCGGCCGCUGCCAGCUCUGCCGCGAGUGGCGAGACGCUUGCGCCCUUCACUGCCCGCGUCGGGGCUCUGUGCAAGCAGAUGCGCGCAGCAGGCGCGGAGUUCGGCUGCGUUGCCGUGGACCCCAGCGAGGAGCAGUGCCGCGGCCUCGUAGCCAAGUGCGCCCUUCGGGAGGGCACCACUGUCAUGUCGGUUCCUCUCCAGUCGUGCGGCAUUUCCUCCGAGCAGCUCAUCAAGGACAACGCGUUUGUGCAGGCGAUGAAGCCCCCGAGCCUGAAUGUGGUGCGACACCUCAUGAACACCCGCAGCAUUCGCGAUCCGGUGAUGCACGAGCAGUUCUACCUGGCGCUUCUCAUUGCGGCCGACCACAUGAACCCCGCCAGCCCCCGCAGCGACUACUACAACCUCCUCCCGCACCCCGCCAUUGAUGACGCUCUGGUGAUUCAGCGCCACAAGGACGUUCUCGACCCGCUGCUGCUCGUGGAGUGGGACGACUAUCAGAAGGAGAUGCUCUCCGUCCUGCACCACCUGCUCCGGCGCUGGGGCUCGCCGUUGGCCCCGCCCAUCCAGGUGGCGUACUGGGCCCUGCGCACCGUGCUCAGCCGCAUGCACAUGCUGCCGAAGGCUGGUUUGGCACCACAGCAGGUGGGAUCCGCCCUCAGCUACACGGCACUGUACGCUGUCGAUCAAGCUGACCUGCAGACGCGAUGGCGGAGGCGAUUCAAGUCCAUUCUAAGCUCGCUGACUGGCAACCCAGCUGACGCCGAGGAGUACCACCUCGUCCCCACGCUAGUGCCACUGCUGGACAUGACCCCGCACAUCCCCUCCAGCAACGUGCAGGUGGAGGUGAACACGCGUGGCGCCGCCGUCGGCGGCUGUGCGGAGCUUCGCGCGGUGCGCGACAUCGACGCUGGAGAGACGAUUGGGCUGCGCUUCAACGCCUCCCAGGCGCCAGCGUUUCUGCUCUUCCGCUUUGGCUUCAUUCCGCAGUAGUGUGCGCGUGCGCCACGCCGACGUUGUCCUCUCCGUGCCGUGUGGCUGCUUGGUGUGGUUCGAUGCGCCGCUGCUGCCGCCGCCGCGCCUCUCUUGUACACCACUGCACUACACACCUCCUCCCACCCCGCCUCCAUUAUGUGUUUUGGCGCUCGUCAAGUCCGACGUGAGCGUUUCGUAGUUGUCGUUGGCUUGUUACUUGGAUGUCGCUGUCUUCUCACUCGCUCUUACACACUCAUCACAUAUACACACACGCGCCCCCUUGCCUCUCUGUUCGGACUGCGUCGCUUUUUCUUUGGGGGGGGAAGGGGGCGCUGAGCGGGUCUGUUCGUGCGACUCGCGACGGCCGCGCUGACUGCGAAUCCGACACAGAUGAAGGUAAACACGCAAUCCCCCCCCCUCCCCCCAAACAAAACCGAACGAUGCCGUCGUGGCGUGCCGUGUGCUCUGCUACACACACACACACACACACACACACACACGACAAGGACUUCCGGCGGCUCACCACCGCCGCCCUUGGCUUUCGGUUCCACGGCUUCUCUCGAACAGGCGACGCUGUUAGCUGUUCCCACACGCACGCUGACGGGCACGAGGGCGUGCAUCCAUCUCGCAUCCACCGCCACCGCCCCUCUUGAGUUCCUUUAGUAUACUCUCUCACUUCUCCUCGCGUGCCGUUCUCUCUUAUAGGCUUUGUGCCGUCGUCAGCGGUGGAGAUGGGCGUCGCACUCAGGCACAUACACACCGGCUCCCAUGGACAAUCCAGGCGCCCCUCUCUCUCUCACUUUCUGCGUUCUCCUCGUCGACACACACCCACCUUGCGGUCACCGCCGGUGAGGGAAAGAGAGGGGAAGGGGGUCACGGCUGCACUUCGUGACGCUCUCGCUCGCUCUGGGCGUUGCGGCUGUCGUUGUUUGCGUCUAUCCGUCCGCCCAUCUCAUCUCUACAUCCUCCUAUGGUGUGUGUAUGGGGGAGGGGAGGCGUGUGCCGGUGAGCAACGGAGCGCGCGUAGCGCGCGCGGUCGCCCAGGCUUGCUGUGUAAGCGGAUGAUGUCUCACGGCUUCAGGCACCUGCCUCGUACGCUCU
rnacentral:misc_RNA from 1 species